GAUGAACGCUGGCGGCGUGCUUAACACAUGCAAGUCGAACGAUGAACCCGGAGCUUGCUCCGGCGGAUUAGUGGCGAACGGGUGAGUAACACGUGAGUAACCUGCCCUUGACUCUGGGAUAACUGCGGGAAACUGUAGCUAAUACCGGAUACGACCCUCGGAGGCAUCUCCAGGGGGUGGAAAGAAUUUCGGUCAAGGAUGGACUCGCGGCCUAUCAGCUAGUUGGUGAGGUAAUGGCUCACCAAGGCGACGACGGGUAGCCGGCCUGAGAGGGUAACCGGCCACACUGGGACUGAGACACGGCCCAGACUCCUACGGGAGGCAGCAGUGGGGAAUAUUGCACAAUGGGCGCAAGCCUGAUGCAGCAACGCCGCGUGAGGGAUGACGGCCUUCGGGUUGUAAACCUCUCUUAGUAGGGAAGAAGCGAAAGUGACGGUACCUGCAGAAAAAGCACCGGCUAACUACGUGCCAGCAGCCGCGGUAA
rnacentral:rRNA from 1 species